rnacentral:snRNA from 1 species
GUGCCUGCUUCAGCAGCACAUAUACUGAAACUGGGACAAUACAGAGAAGAUUAGCGUGACCCCUGCACAAGGAUGACACACAAAUUCGUGAAGCAUUCCGUAUUUUA